UUAUCUAUAAUAGUCAAGUUUAUAGUCAUGUUAGUUAAGAUUUUCUAGAUGUACAUAGAUAUAUUUUAGAUAGGCAUUCUUCAUAUCUUUCAAAGAUUAUAGAAUAUGGCAUUUUAAAUGUUUUAAUAACUUAGGGUUUUUCAUGACAGUGAGACACGUCUGCUCCUGGCAGCACCAAUCUACUUCAAGAAGAAAGAAGAUGGGCAUCGAAGAGGUACCUUAUGGAGUUUGAUAGCCAUUUGGGCAAGAAACUGCUCUUGCCUGGACUAUUGUAUAAACUGGACACAGAGAACCUGCAGAUAGAGGACUACUGAAAUUGCCUAAAGAAGGGCACUCACUGAACCUCUUCCUCUAGCUGCUGCCAAACUAGGUUGCUGCCCUGAAACCCAGUCAAGUUUUUACUGUUCUACGCAGCAACAAUAAGCCUCACAUCUUCAUCAACAUCAUCAUCAGAUUUGGAGAAUAAAGGUGUCCAGCUAGGGAAUCUGAAGACCACUGGACAAAUGAGACAUCUGAAGAAAAAAGAACAAAUCAUCCAUAAAAAUUGUCUCAAGAAAAUGAGUAAA